rnacentral:rRNA from 1 species
UACAGAGGUCUCAAGCGUUGUUCGGAAUCACUGGGCGUAAAGCGAACGUAGGCGGUGUUCCAUGUCAGAGGUGAAAGCCUGGGGCUCAACUCCAGAAUUGCCUUUGAAACGGGGACGCUUGAGUCCGAGAGAGGGUGGCGGAAUUCCUAGUGUAGAGGUGAAAUUCGUAGAUAUUAGGAAGAACACCAGUGGCGAAGGCGGCCACCUGGCUCGGUACUGACGCUCAGGUUCGAAAGCGUGGGGAGCAAACAGG